AUUGGGCACAUUCUGUCUUUUUACGUCUGUGCCGUCCUGCAUCUGUCACGCAAGUAAAACUACCUCUCAACCAGGUGUCUAAUCGGAAAAUUUAUAUUGGCAAUCCAUUUUGUAACAAACGCUCAUUGGUUUGUAAUCGUUUUCAAGAGUGGCCAACCAUUUUGGAAAAUAAAAGCAUUGGACUGGA